CAGAAAUUUAAAAACUAAUAAGGCAACACUUCAUGGCUAUCUUGAUAAGGCCAAGCAAAGAAGGGAUUUUUGUGGCACCUUUUCGAUCAGUUUCACUUCUAGUUAUUAACUAAACACCGUAGAACUUUGUUACUUUGCAACCAGCCAAAUGCUUUAAAAUAAAAGAAACAAAAGAAUUUGGGCUAAAAAUAAAUAAAUAAACAGAACAAGAGACUCACCUUCCCAACCAAGAUUUCAUUAGUAUGAGGUCCAUAAACGUCAGCUGUG
rnacentral:misc_RNA from 1 species